rnacentral:rRNA from 1 species
AGAGUUUGUCCUGGCUCAGGAUGAACGCUAGCGACAGGCUUAACACAUGCAAGUCGAGGGGCAGCGGGGUUGUAGCAAUACAACUGCCGGCGACCGGCGCACGGGUGAGUAACACGUAUGUAACCUGCCCUCUGCAGGGGGAUAAGCGGAAGAAAUUCCGUCUAAUACCGCAUGAUACAAUUUGGAGACAUCUCCGGGUUGUCAAAGGAGUGAUUCGGCAGAGGAUGGGCAUGCGGCGCAUUAGCUAGUCGGCGGGGUAACGGCCCACCGAGGCUACGAUGCGUAGGGGUUCUGAGAGGAAGGUCCCCCACACUGGUACUGAGACACGGACCAGACUCCUACGGGAGGCAGCAGUGAGGAAUAUUGGUCAAUGGGCGGAAGCCUGAACCAGCCAAGUCGCGUGAGGGAAGACGGUCCUAUGGAUUGUAAACCUCUUUUGCAGGGGAGCAAGGCGCGGUACGUGUACCGCGAAGGAGAGUACCCUGAGAAAAAGCAUCGGCUAACUCCGUGCCAGCAGCCGCGGUAAUACGGAGGAUGCGAGCGUUAUCCGGAUUUAUUGGGUUUAAAGGGUGCGCAGGCGGACUGUUAAGUCAGCGGUAAAAUGUCGGUGCUCAACACCGGCCGGCCGUUGAAACUGGCAGCCUUGAGUGAGCGAGAAGUAUGCGGAAUGCGUGGUGUAGCGGUGAAAUGCAUAGAUAUCGCGCAGAACUCCGAUUGCGAAGGCAGCAUGCCGGCUCCACACUGACGCUGAGGCACGAAAGCGUGGGUAUCGAACAGGAUUAGAUACCCUGGUAGUCCACGCAGUAAACGAUGAAUGCUGGCUGUCCUGGGGGACUGACCCCUGGGUGGCGAAGCGAAAGCGAUAAGCAUUCCACCUGGGGAGUACGCCGGCAACGGUGAAACUCAAAGGAAUUGACGGGGGCCCGCACAAGCGGAGGAACAUGUGGUUUAAUUCGAUGAUACGCGAGGAACCUUACCCGGGCUCAAACGGGGAGUGGCGCAGGCAGAGACGCCUGUUUCCCACGGGACACUCCCCGAGGUGCUGCAUGGUUGUCGUCAGCUCGUGCCGUGAGGUGUCGGCUUAAGUGCCAUAACGAGCGCAACCCCCGCGUGCAGUUGCUAACAGUCAACGCUGAGGACUCUGCACGGACUGCCGGCGCAAGCCGCGAGGAAGGCGGGGAUGACGUCAAAUCAGCACGGCCCUUACGUCCGGGGCGACACACGUGUUACAAUGGGUGGUACAGCGGGAAGCCAGGCGGCGACGCCGAGCGGAACCCGAAAUCCACUCUCAGUUCGGAUCGGAGUCUGCAACCCGACUCCGUGAAGCUGGAUUCGCUAGUAAUCGCGCAUCAGCCAUGGCGCGGUGAAUACGUUCCCGGGCCUUGCACUCACCGCCCGUCA